AGAGUUUGAUCCUGGCUCAGAAUGAACGUUGGCGGCGUGGAUUAGGCAUGCAAGUCGAGCGCGAUAUGUAGCAAUACAUGGAGAGCGGCGAAAGGGAGAGUAAUACGUAGGUAUCUACCCUCGGGUCUGGGAUAGCAGCGGGAAACUGCUGGUAAUACCAGAUAACGUCUCCGGACCAAAGGUGUGAUUCCACCUGAGGAGGAGCCUACGGCCUAUUAGCUAGUUGGUAGGGUAACGGCCUACCAAGGCAAAGAUGGGUAUGGGGUGUGAGAGCAUGCCCCCACUCACUGGGACUGAGACACUGCCCAGACACCUACGGGUGGCUGCAGUCGAGAAUCUUCGGCAAUGGGCGAAAGCCUGACCGAGCGACGCCGCGUGCGGGAUGAAGGCCUUCGGGUUGUAAACCGCUGUCGUAGUGGAGGAAAUGUAGGAGAGUUAUCUCUUCUACUUGACUAAUACUAGGAGGAAGGACCGGCUAAUCUCGUGCCAGCAGCCGCGGUAAUACGAGAGGUCCAAACGUCAUUCGGAUUUACUGGGCUUAAAGAGUUCGUAGGCGGCUAAGUAAGUGGGGUGUGAAAUCCCUCGGCUCAACCGAGGAACUGCGCUCCAAACUACUUAGCUAGAGGAAGAUAGAGGUAAGCGGAACAGAUGGUGGAGCGGUGAAAUGCGUUGAUAUCAUCUGGAACACCGGAGGCGAAGGCGGCUUACUGGGUCUUUUCUGACGCUGAGGAACGAAAGCUAGGGGAGCAAACGGGAUUAGAUACCCCGGUAGUCCUAGCCGUAAACGAUGAGCACUGGAC
rnacentral:rRNA from 1 species